ACAUUUUUGCAUGGUUCUUGAUUGACUUUCUGGUGCUCUGCCUGGAGGUCUUUGCUUAUCUGUGAGUUGCCUGAGUCACAUUUUUACAUGGUUCUGGUGCUCUGCCUGCAGGUCAAGAAGGAGCCAGUAUCUCCAGGAGGAGUGAGAGAGUGCUCUGCCAGUGUGAAGUGUGAAUCCUUGAGAGGCUGUGGCAAGGGUCCAUGCCUGAAUGUGUAGAACAAGAACAGCUGGAGGCUGUGGCUUUCUCCAGGAAGAGGUUUCUAAAUCUGCCUCUUAGAAGAUAUCAGAAAGUUAAAGUUUCUCUUGCUGCCGCCGUGUAAGAAGGACCUUUUGCCUCCCACCAUGAUUCUAAGUCCUCCCCAGCCACGUGGAACUGCUUUCAUUUGGUCUCUUUUCGAAUCAGAAGACCCAGAAAACUUGGAUCCACUUCUGGCUCUCAUCCCUCUGGGCAGUGUGAUUUGGAGUAAAGCAGCUACGGCUUAGAAAGGCUGAGGAACUUGCCUGAGGCUAUCCAGCUACUGAGAGAUAAACUGGGGUGUGAAUUCAGAGAGCUUGACUCCUGAGGCUCCACCUGUGCCUAUAAUUCCAGCAUGACACCUGGUAAUGGGCACUCAGUAUAUGCUUGUUGAUCUAAACUCAGUGUGUGUGUGUGUGUCUGUGUGUGUCUGUGUGUGUGUGUGUGUGUGUGUGUGUGUGUGUGGUCUUCCUCUCACAUCCAAAGCUACUAGCACUGAGGAAGUUGGGCAUGGUGUAGGAAAGAGAAAUCUUUGCUGUUAAAUCUCAUUUCCAGCAUAACUGUCAAUGGAGAGGUGGCAUGGAAGGGACAACCAGUUCGUGUACCAAAUUACUCUCAGCUUGCUUGUUGUCUUAGGCAUAUGUUCUGGGAGUGGCCAACACCUGUUUUACAUCUGUGUUAGUCUUUGCGGAAUAAAAAGCAAAUUAGGGUUUAAUGGGGACUAUUAAUCUUGUCACCUAAUUGAGUAGAUCUAAUAAAUCUUUUCAUUCAAAACCCAAUGGGAAUUUCUAGUUGGAAAUGAGUGUGGGGAAUAUUCAAUCUCAAAAAUAUUUUCAUACACAAAGAUUAUAUAUGAGUUUGUGAAAGAUGUUGAAUAUUCAAUGAAAUUUAAUGAGUAUGAAUUGAACACUUAUCCUGGGCCUAGAACUGUUGGCAGUUGCUUUUGAGAGUUACAGAGUACAUUUAUGGUAAUUACUGCACUUACGAAUUUUGCUAUGUGGUUUGGGAGUAUCUGAAGUAUCUUAUAGUAGGUCUCUAAACUGGUAAUAAUAAAAAGUUCAAAUAUAUUAUUUUGUUACACUCCACGAGGAUCAAACUUCAUCAUGACAUGAUUAUAAUUUGAAAUAUGAGUAAGAAAUACGUAGGGUCAUGAUCUCUAUAAGCCCAUUCUUUGCUUCUUAAUUAAAUUUUGCAGCUGAUAGAAACAUUGAAAGCAGAGCAUUAGCUUAUAAAUAAUUCAGAAAAUGGUUGGUAACUCCCAUAGUAUAUGUUUUAUGAGUUUUGUUUAAGAAGAGUCUAUUUCGUGUUAGGUAAAGUUGGCCAUUGUUUAGAAUAAAGACCUGCAUUACUUUCUAUUCUAAAUUAAACUGUUAAUGGGAGUGCUUGCAAAGGCCUUGGUGCUUUUUUUUCUGUUUAAUAGGAGCAACAUCACUUUGGAUCAAUUAUUUAAUUUCCUUAUGUCAGAGUUCUUUCAAUUUAAAGGAAAAUAUUUCCUUUCCUCAUUCCUUUUUCUCUGAGGAUGAACCAGACAUUGGAAGUUGUAGCCUGGGAUUGUACUGGAGCUCUCACUGUGGUUGCAUUCUUUCUUCACAUUCAGCGUCCUCCUUAAAGCACACAUUUUCACGUACAUCUAUUAAAUUACCUGGGAGAGAGUUCUAGACACUAUCAGUCAGUAAAUCCAGUUGUCUCAUUUUUCAGUUUUAGCUAUUGUUGCGGUCAUAUGCCAAGGCUUGUAUGAAUGAAGGGUCUAUAAAAAUAUCUGCUGUGGUGUGAUUUUUUUUAUCCUUGUAUGAGACCAUAGCAUGAGACAGUAGACUGGCAAAUUGGCAGGGCGAGGAGAGUGUUUGUGCUUACACGGGGCAAUGAAAAGAGUUUUGAUUCUUCUUUAGCUAAAUGUUAUAAAACUUUAAAGCUUACAUUUGAAUAAUCGUUGCAGAUGGGUUAGAUAAAAUCCAUCAACUCACAAUGUUUUUCCUGUUUCCAUUCACUAGUGAGUAACAAGGUUAAAAGAAGGAAUGUUCUAUAAAAUAAGAUAUAGAAUUUGGGUUAGGUUUACAAGUGAAGAGUUCCUCUUUGCCCUGCCCCCAAAUUAUUUUUAGGCCCCAGGCCUCUGAAGCCAAGGUAAUCUGCAGGGCAGCUUUCACAUUUUAUCACAAGUCAGUGGUCUCUCCUCUUCCUUGUCCCUCCUAUCUUGCCGGCAAAUGGCUCUGUGGGAAACCCAUUCUGCUUCCUGUUUAAACUGUAG
rnacentral:lncRNA from 1 species